rnacentral:tRNA from 1 species
GAAGUAUUAGUAAAAAUUACACAACUUUGUCAAGGUUGGAUUAUGGGUUUAAAUCCUUUAUACUUC